UUGGUUUUUAGUGAAGCACACCUGAGACCUGGGGUGUAGGCUUAUUGGGGCAAGGUUGUUUUAUUCUAUGUGGGUGAGCUCUUUAGUGAGGUACACCUAAGACCUGGGGUGUAGGCUUAUUGGGGCAAGGUUGUUUUAUUCUAUGAGGGUGAGGUCUUCAGUGAGGUACACCUGAGACCUGGGGUGUAGGCCUAUUGGUCCCAGUCUAUAUUGUUCUAUGAGGGUUAGGUCUUCAGUGAGGCACACCUGAGACCUGGGGUGUAGGCCUAUUGGUCCCAGUCUAUACUGUUCUAUGAGGGUUAGGUCUUCAGUGA